AUGGAUUCCACAGAAAUAGCUACUAAGCCACAUGCUGUUCGCAUUCCAUUCCCUGCUCAAAGCCAUAUAAAGGCAAUGCUUAAAUUUGCAAAGCUCGACUAUAGAGGUUUUCAUAUGACCUUUGUUAACACACAGUUCAAUCACAAGCGCUUUCUUAAAACUCUAGGAUCUAAUUCCCUCGAUGGCUUGCCUGAUUUUCAAUUUGAAGCCAUCCCGUAUAGCCUUCCAGAUUCAAACGAAGACACCACACAAGAUGUCAGUAAAAAAAUAAAGUUAGACCAUUUUCAACAAAGAAAUUAUGUAGAAGUUUCUUUAAAACCUUGUAUCAUUAGGUUGGAGAUAUUGACCUGA
rnacentral:lncRNA from 1 species